AAUUGUCAGCACGCGUGCCGACAAAUUGCGGGACAUGUUGAAGUGACAAUUUGCCUGCAAUUUUUCAGUACACUGCGCUGUUUGUUUGCAAUGCAACUUAUCAAAAACAGCGAUGAUGUUGCAAUGCAUUUUGUUGUUCAGAAAUUAAGUAAUUUUUUUAAUACAAUAUCCCGUUUCGGAGCAAGGAUGCAAAGCAGACGCCAUCAUAUUUGGAGAUGUGUCUUCUGCAGCAGUCUACGUUUACUCUAGUACCGCGCAGUAGUACAAAUUGGAGCAGCAGUAGCAGUAGAAGUUUAAAUAAACAUAUUUACAAGAGUUAUAAAACGAAAACUAUGUGUGUAGUGCAGUUAUUAACUCUAGUGCAGUAGUUCUCAUGAGUUUUGUGCAGUUCGGAGUCUUCAAAAACAUAACCAUGAGGUCAGUACAAAGUUGUAGCAGUAAUUGAACAUCGGCCAACAAAGCCAUGAACAUGCGGUGGGAAGAGGCUGACCAUAGGAAGCAGCUUUUUGGAAAAAAUAAAAUAGGGAAAUCAAUUAAACUACGUUGGAUCACCUUCAUGUAGUCACUGGAAAAGCAGAAGUUAUCAUCGAGGGUAGCAACAGCAUAGAAGGCCACUUAUGAUUUGAACGAGAUGAAGAAGCAGUAACCCAAUCGUUGAUAAGUCGAGAGGCAAUUCCUGGAAAAGCUGUACAUCGCGCCCACCUCGCCUGCGUACAUCUGCGGCUAGAAGGAGGCUGUCCAGGCGGCUGUACAGGAAAGCCCAGCCUUAUCAGCUGCGAGUGAAAAGCUGACAGUUCAUCAGUCUCCAGCAACAUCAACUGGACGACUCUCAACAUUUCCUUUUUAUUUGCCAUAGAUUCCCAUCGUAUAAAUUUACAGUUUUUGUUUACAAUAUAUUUGUAGUUGCAGGUUCACAAACGGAGAGCAGAUUUAAGAAGCUGACCAUCCAUCGCACUUUC
rnacentral:lncRNA from 12 species